rnacentral:rRNA from 1 species
AUUGAACGCUGGCGGCAGGCUUAACACAUGCAAGUCGAGCGAGCGGCGGACGGGUGAGUAAUGUCUGGGAACCUGCCUGAUGGAGGGGGAUAACUACUGGAAACGGUAGCUAAUACCGCAUACCAUCAGAUGUACCCAUAUGGGAUUAGCUAGUAGGUGGGGUAACGGCUCACCUAGGCGACGAUCCCUAGCUGGUCUGAGAGGAUGACCAGCCACACUGGAACUGAGACACGGCCCAGACUCCUACGGGAGGCAGCAGUGGGGAAUAUUGCACAAUGGGCGCAAGCCUGAUGCAGCCAUGCCGCGUGUAUGAAGAAGGCCUUCGGGUUGUAAAGUACUUUCAGUCGGGAGGCGUUACCGACAGAAGAAGCACCGGCUAACUCCGUGCCAGCAGCCGCGGUAAUUC